rnacentral:lncRNA from 1 species
AAGACCUGAUUUGUAAAUAUUAGAAAUUUAAAAGUCAGCGUUCUUUAAUUUUUAUUUUUGUAUAGAUUUCAAAGAUUGAUUAACUAUUUUUAACCAUACCAUGAGCUGCAUCUUUCUUUCUCCGAUAUGGAAGCUUGGAAGGUCUCAUUGUGUUUCCCUAAACGUAACGACCUACAAAAAAAAAAAAAAAAUACAGUUAAUCAUUGUCCUAACAUGAAAUUACGUCUAUAAUAUCAUCUUUACUUGAUGUUCAAC